CAGAGACAAUCGGUGGAUGAGGUCCUUAAAUGACCAUCAGGAAUAGCCUGCAUGUUUUUUUUAUUUUUUUAUUGCAGCAUCUCACAUGCAAAUCUAUUAACAGAGAGCCCCAAAAAUAGUGAUGGCGCAUCUCAUGACAAAGCAUUUCAGAGAUGCUUCAGUACAGUGGCACCGGAAGUGAGACACAGGCAAAAACAAGAUUACGGAAAGAGUGGUGAGAAAGAGAGAGACGUGCGCUGUAUCAGCCUGUCGGGUAGACAACACAUAUCUGUAGAUUUCAUCCAGACACCUUCACUGGAUUACUGUAUUUUACAGUCUAUGUUUUAGAGGUUUUUAAAGACCUGCAGAAAGGUCGCUAUGAGUUUGUGAAAUUCAAAAUAUGAGAUCAGAAAUCCUUCUUAACCUCCAGAGCGUCACCCUUCAGUGAUCAGAAAGCCUCCCUGUGACUCAGCUGCUCCCAGAAUUAGGCAACUCAAAAACAACAGGACAAGGCAGAGGUGUGCUGAAAAACGGCCACUUUAACGGUUUCCUCCUCCGCAUACUAGUGAUGGAUGUGGCAUGAUAGCAAG